rnacentral:rRNA from 1 species
UCAAGAAUCUUCCUCAAUGGCCGAAAGGCUGAAGGAGCGACGCCGCGUGCAUGAUGAAGCCCCUCGGGGUGUAAAGUGCUUUUAUUAGGGAAGAACAAAUGACGGUACCUAAUGAAUAAGGGGUUGCUAACCUCGUGCCAGCAGCAGCGGUAAUACGAGGACCCCUAGCGUUAUCCGGAUUUAUUGGGCGUAAAGGGUACGUAGGCGGCUGAUCACAUCUCCUGUCAAAUCCUGGGGCUUAACCUCAGGGCCGCGGGAGAGAUGGAUCGGCUAGAGGCCGGAAUAGGCACAUGGAAUUGCUGGUGUAGGGGUUAAAUCCGUUAAUAUCAGCAGGAACACCAAAUGCGAAGGCAGUGUGCUAGGACGGUCCUGACGCUAAGGUACGAAAGCGUGGGGAGCG